rnacentral:rRNA from 1 species
AACGAACGUUAGCGGCGCGCUUAACACAUGCAAGUCGUACGAGAAAGUCUCCUUCGGGGGGCGAGUAAAGUGGCGCACGGGUGAGUAACACGUGGGUAUCUACCUUUUGGCGGGGGACAACAUCUUGAAAAGGGUGCUAAUACCGCAUAAGUCCACUUCGGUGGGGAAAGAUGGCCUCUCCUUGGAAGCUAUCACCAAAAGAUGAGCCUGCGUCCCAUCAGCUAGUUGGCAGGGUAAAAGCCUACCAAGGCAACGACGGGUAGCUGGUCUGAGAGGAUGAUCAGUCACACUGGAACUGAGACACGGUCCAGACUCCUACGGGAGGCAGCAGUGGGGAAUAUUGCGCAAUGGGCGAAAGCCUGACGCAGCGACGCCGCGUGGGUGAUGAAGGUUUUCGGAUCGUAAAGCCCUGUGGGAGAGGGAAGAACA